rnacentral:rRNA from 1 species
AGCGAACGUUAGCGGCGGGCCUAACACAUGCAAGUCGAACGAGAAAACCCCUUCGGGGGUGAGUACAGUGGCGCACGGGUGAGGAACGCGUAGGUAAUCUACCCUUCGGCGGGGGACAACAUUUCGAAAGGAAUGCUAAUACCGCGUAAGACCACGAUCACUACGGUGGAUGUGGUUAAAGAUGGCCUCUUCUUGAAAGCUAUCACCGAAGGACGAGCCUGCGUCCCAUCAGCUUGUUGGUAAGGUAAUGGCUUACCAAGGCUAAGACGGGUAGCUGGUCUGAGAGGAUGAUCAGCCACACUGGCACUGGAACACGGGCCAGACUCCUACGGGAGGCAG